UACGUAGGGUGCGAGCGUUAAUCGGAAUUACUGGGCGUAAAGCGUGCGCAGGCGGUGAUGUAAGACAGGUGUGAAAUCCCCGGGCUUAACCUGGGAACUGCAUUUGUGACUGCAUCGCUGGAGUGCGGCAGAGGGGGAUGGAAUUCCGCGUGUAGCAGUGAAAUGCGUAGAUAUGCGGAGGAACACCGAUGGCGAAGGCAAUCCCCUGGGCCUGCACUGACGCUCAUGCACGAAAGCGUGGGGAGCAAACAGGG
rnacentral:rRNA from 1 species